ACUCGUUGGACCUCUUGACGCGUUGGACCUCUUGACCCAUAUUGGAUUUCUUGACUCGUGCCUCGAUAUGUCAAGAGGUCCAACGCGUCAAGAGAUCCAAUAU
rnacentral:pre_miRNA from 1 species